rnacentral:rRNA from 1 species
UGGGGAAUAUUGGACAAUGGGCGAAAGCCUGAUCAAGCCAUGCCGCAUGAGUGAAGAAGGCCUUUGGGUUGUAAAGCUCUUUUAGUGAGGAAGAUAAUGACGGUACUCACAGAAGAAGUCCUGGCUAACUCCGUGCCAGCAGCCGCGGUAAUACGGAGAGGGCUAGCGUUAUUCGGAAUUAUUGGGCGUAAAGGGCGCGUAGGCUGGUUAAUAAGUUAAAAGUGAAAUCCCGAGGCUUAACCUUGGAAUUGCUUUUAAAACUAUUAAUCUAGAGAUUGAAAGAGGAUAGAGGAAUUCCUGAUGUAGAGGUAAAAUUCGUAAAUAUUAGGAGGAACACCGGUGGCGAAGGCGUCUAUCUGGUUCAAAUCUGACGCUGAAGCGCGAAGGCGUGGGGAGCAAACA